rnacentral:tRNA from 1 species
GGGCAGGUACCCAAGUGGUUAACGGGGGCAGACUGUAAAUCUGUUGGCAGACGCCUACGGAGGUUCGAAUCCUUCCCUGCCCA